GAUGAACGCUGGCGGCGUGCCUAACACAUGCAAGUCGAGCGGGAUCUUGCUAAAUGACGCUUCGGUUGAUUUUAGUAAGUGAGAGCGGCGGACGGGUGAGUAACGCGUAGGCAACCUGCCCUUUGCAGAGGGAUAGCCAUUGGAAACGAUGAUUAAAACCUCAUAAUGCCAGACUGAGACAUCUCUAACUGGCCAAAGAUUUAUCGGCAAAGGAUGGGCCUGCGUCUGAUUAGCUAGUUGGUGGGGUAACGGCCUACCAAGUCGACGAUCAGUAGCCGACCUGAGAGGGUGAUCGGCCACAUUGGGACUGAGACACGGCCCAAACUCCUACGGGAGGCAGCAGUGGGGGAAUAUUGGGCAAUGGGGGGGAACCCUGACCCAGCAACGCCGCGUGGAGGAAGAAGGUUUUCGGAUCGUAAACUCCUGUCCUCAGGGAAGAGCAGAAGACGGUACCUGAGGAGGAAGCCCCGGCUAACUACGUG
rnacentral:rRNA from 1 species